UGGGGAAUAUUGGGCAAUGGGCGAAAGCCUGACCCAGCAACGCCGCGUGAGUGAUGAAGGCCUUCGGGUUGUAAAACUCUUUGGACAGGGACGAAGAAAGUGACGGUACCUGUAGAACAAGCCCCGGCUAACUUCGUGCCAGCAGCCGCGGUAAUACGAAGGGGGCUAGCGUUGUUCGGAUUUACUGGGCGUAAAGCGCACGUAGGCGGACUUUUAAGUCAGGGGUGAAAUCCCGGGGCUCAACCCCGGAACUGCCUUUGAUACUGGAAGUCUUGAGUAUGGUAGAGGUGAGUGGAAUUCCGAGUGUAGAGAUGAAAUUCGUAGAUAUUCGGAGGAACACCAGUGGCGAAGGCGGCUCACUGGACCAUUACUGACGCUGAGGUGCGAAAGCGGGGGGAGCAAACAGG
rnacentral:rRNA from 1 species